GGGGGGAAGAGAUACAAAGAGAUCAUUUGGAAUACAAAAGGUUUUUUUCAUUUUCUGAGCAUUUUGAGUUUCGUUUUGUUUUUUUUUUCCUUUUAGCCUCUUUUAUUAUUUUAUUUUUCAUUGAAAAUAAAAAGAAAGAAGGAAGAAAUUUACCUGGUCGCCGGAGUCGACUGGCCGGCGUCUUUUCCGUCGACGGAGGCCAUGGCAUCAACUGAAUGGCAGCGUUCAAGGGUUGAUAAAACCUUAAAAGAAGCAGACUUUGCUUCAGGGAAAAAGAAAGUCUCCC
rnacentral:lncRNA from 1 species